GAGUGGCAGACGGGUGAGUAACACGUAGGAAUCUACCUUGUAGUGGGGAAUAGCUCAACGAAAGUUGGGGUAAAACCGCAUAUACCCUCCGGGGGAAAGCAGCAAUGCGCUAUAAGAGGAGCCUGCGCGCUAUCAGCUAGUUGGUGGGGUAAUGGCCUACCAAGGCUACGACGGCUAGCCGAUGUGAGAGCAUGAUCGGCCACAAGGUUACUGAGACACGGAACCUACACC
rnacentral:rRNA from 1 species